rnacentral:lncRNA from 1 species
GGGUUUCUUUAUAAAAGUGAAAUGGGGUGGAGGGGUGCAAAGGUGAAGGGGUGUAGAGUUGCAAGAAUGCAUAUUUAGGGAUUGGAGGAAAAUGGAAAUAGAGUCAAUGGUGGAUACAAAAUUUUCAAUAAUAAAAAAAAUUAAACUUUAAAAGCUCUUAUUAAUUAGGAACAUUUUAAGAAAUUUGAGGUACAGAGUGAAAUACUUAGAGGUGCAGAGUGAAACACCUAUAUCCUUGUUCAAGAUGUUAACACCAAAUACUAGGGCUUUGGCAGUAUGACUAUAUACCCCGG